AAUAGAUAAGCAAGUAAAUAAAUUAGGAAACGGUAAAAAUAAAUAAAUAAAUAAACAAAAAUAAAUAAUAAAUAAAUAAAUAAGUUAAGGAAAAUAAUAUAAAGAGGAAGAUAACCAAUAAAAAGUGAAUGAUAAUCAUAAAACUAAAACUAAAAAAUAAAAUAAAAUAAAAUAAAAAUAAACCAAUAAACAAAAGUCGAGCCCAAAAG
rnacentral:lncRNA from 1 species